UUAGGUAGUGCAAAAGUAAUUGUGGUUUUUGCCAUUGAAAAUAAUAGCAAAAACCACAAUUACUUUUGCAGCAACCUAAU
rnacentral:miRNA from 1 species